GAAUUCGAUUCGGUGUGACAAGGCCCGGGAACGUAUUCACCGCGGCGUGCUGAUCCGCGAUUACUAGCGAUUCCAACUUCAAGCAGGCGAGUUGCAGCCUGCUAUCCGAACUGAGACCGACUUUCUCCGAUUAGCUCCCCCUUGCGGGCUCGCGACGGUUUGUAUCGGCCAUUGUAGCACGUGUGUAGCCCCAGACAUAAAGGCCAUGCUGACUUGACGUCAUCCCCACCUUCCUCCGGUUUAUCACCGGCAGUCUUUGCAGAGUGCCCAGCUUAACCUGAUGGCAACAGCAAACAAGGGUUGCGCUCGUUGCGGGACUUAACCCAACAUCUCACGACACGAGCUGACGACAGCCAUGCAGCACCUCUACGAGUGUCCUUGCGGAAGUCAACUUUCGUCGAUGGUCACUCGCUGUUCAAGCCUGGGUAAGGUUCUUCGCGUUAAUCACUA
rnacentral:rRNA from 1 species